AUAAGAGAUAGCAAGAAGGCAAGCUAAAACAAACCAGCUAAGCAUAAGGUGAAGGGUAGAUAAAAUACAACGGUGAAGUUAAAAGAGAAACAGAGAUGAACAAGCGAAGGUUCUCUACACACUCCCUUAUCUUGGUGACUGUGCUAGCAGUUCUAAUUGUUCUUGCUAUGCCAACAGCUUUGCUGGGGCUCAGUAUAGGGAGGCGUGCUUUGGGUGAUCCACAUGGAGUUCAAUCCACAGCUGCCAUGCAACAAGAUGCUCAGGCCGUAGGUCCUGCGUGCAACACAAACGAUCCGAAUGUUCCAUCUCCAUGCCCACCUCCACUAUCACCUCUCUCGCCAUGAAACCUGGGCAAAAACAAAGCUAUGCUCAAGGCCUUCGCUUCCUUUGCUCCAGCAGGGGAUUUUGAGCCAUAUAUGGUUACACUAUUAGGUGAUAAAGCUAUACGUUUGUACCACGAGAACUAUGACAAGUAAACGUAUAGAUUAACCAACAUCUGAAUUGUGACGAGAAUUCGUACGUUCUUUCAGAGAAUGUUGUACCUUGUGUUAUAUGGUGCAUGUACCUCUAUAUAGUUGUGUUUGAAUAAAACGAAGACAUGAAUUUGGCGAGCCGACA